AUUGAACGCUGGCGGCAGGCCUAACACAUGCAAGUCGAACGGAGUGGCGGACGGGGGAGUAAUGUGUGGGAAACAGCCCGAUGGAGGGGGAGAACGUCCGGAAACGGGCGCUAAUACCGCGUAUUCUAAGAUGAGCCUAGGUGGGGUUAGCUAGUUGGGGGGGUAAAGGCCUACCAAGGCGACGAUCCGUAACUGGUCUGAGAGGAUGAUCAGUCACACGGGAACUGAGACACGGUCCAGACUCCUACGGGAGGCAGCAGUGGGGAAUAUUGGACAAUGGGCGAAAGCCUGAUCCAGCCAUGCCGCGUGUGUGAAGAAGGUCUUCGGAUUGUAAAGUACUUUCAGUUGGGAGGCGUUACCAACAGAAUAAGCACCGGCUAACUUCGUGCCAGCAGCCGCGGUAAUAC
rnacentral:rRNA from 1 species